ensembl:lncRNA
CUGCCUGCCCAGUAUGCCUUUGAGAUUUACCCUUGAGGGAGUGCAAUUCCUUGCCAGGUCCUCUGGGAUUCUGUUCCUAACAGGUCUCAGUCACAUUAGUAGCUUUUUGCUACAUACAUUCCUUGUUUCAUAAAAUUAUUUACUUUUGUCUCCCUUCAAAAAUAAAAAAACGUACUUUUAAAAAUGUUGUCAGUUUCCUCUAAGUGAUAGUCUAAAACUUUCGGUAAACAUCACGUUUUCAAAAACGAAUAAAGAACUGUGGUUAAGGUGUUGAAUUGCCAUAGGUCACCUUAAAACUACAUAGCCACAGAGCUAUGCCUGUUUUUUCCUUCCUGGGAAUCAUUCCCAGUGUGAUAAGACGAAUUAUUAUUUUGGAUCUGGAUUCCCAAACAUCUACAGUUUUCAGAGGCAGUUUCUAAGACUAGUCCAGAUAACUCUAACACCUAAGGGGACCAGGUGGGACUGGUUUGAUCAAUCUCCAGGGAAGGAUGGAACAGGUUCAGCAACUCAUUUGCAAAUAGCCACUAAGGCUGCUGGGAAGCUGCCAUUUUGGAGUCCUGGGAAAGGUUAAGCGAGAAUAAGAACCAGGUGGAGGAAUCAUUUGAAACCAGUGAGAGGGCCAUGGUACACACAGAGCCAGGAUGAGCUCAGGUCCCUGGACAGAACUAUAAGUACAGUAUAGGUUUGUUCCCAUGAAAUGGGAACGUUCACUGUCCAAGACUGAAAAGAACUGUAACUUCCGAGGGGCAUUUUAGCAGUCACCAGCUGAGGGGAGUAAGAGGAAAAGAGCUCUGUCUUUGCCUUGUUCUCAAAGCCCUGGGAAGCGGUGUGAACCAAGGAAAGAGGACAGUCUACUUGGGCAAUACACAACUUUUACUGAGGGAGCCACCAUCACCAAGGACAGUUGCAGAAACCGAGGAAUCAAGGAAAUCAAGCCGUGUGCUUCAGGCAGAGGCCCAGCUCCUAUCUACUGACAAAGGUGGGGAGCUGACAUCCCUCUAUAAAGAGAUGAUUUCCCCUUGUCAAAUUAUCAACUUCCUCAAGGAGCAGCAGAUACAAGAAAGUGAGAGAACCAUCCCCAGAGGGAUGAAGCUGGUCAUGGAAACAGAUUGUUCCAAAAAGCAACAUCCGUUGUUUCAGCAUCAGAGGCAGGACCUGAAUUCUCACUCCUAUUUUCCUUGGGAAGACUGCAUUUUAUCGCUUUGUUAAAGUGUAUUCCCUUGUUUAUUUACAAUAAAUAUCCAUAAAUUCAUACUGAUCUGAGUGAAGGAUUGAAUAAAUU